rnacentral:rRNA from 1 species
UACGUAGGGGGCCAGCGUUGUUCGGAAUUACUGGGUGUAAAGGGUUCGUAGGCGGUGUAGCAAGUCGGGAGUGAAAUCUCUGGGCUUAACCCAGAGGCUGCUUCCGAAACUGCUGUGCUUGAGUGUGGGAGAGGCGCGUGGAAUUGCAGGUGUAGCGGUGAAAUGCGUAGAUAUCUGCAGGAACACCCGUGGCGAAAGCGGCGCGCUGGACCACUACUGACGCUGAGGAACGAAAGCUAGGGGAGCAAACAGG